UACGUAGGCAGCGAGCGUUGUUCGGAGUUACUGGGCGUAAAGCGUGCGUAGGCGGUCCUCUAAGUCUGGUGUGAAAUCUCCCGGCUCAACUGGGAGGGUGCGCCGGAAACUGGAAGGCUCAGAGUAUGGGAGAGGUAGGCGGAAUUCCUGGUGUAGCGGUGAAAUGCGUAGAUAUCAGGAGGAACACCUGUGGUGUAGACGGCUUACUGGACCAUUACUGACGCUGAGGCACGAAAGCGUGGGGAGCAAACAGG
rnacentral:rRNA from 1 species